rnacentral:rRNA from 1 species
CCUACGGGAGGCAGCAGUAGGGAAUCUUCCACAAUGGGCGCAAGCCUGAUGGAGCAACGCCGCGUGAGUGAUGAAGGCCUUCGGGUUGUAAAACUCUGUCUUCUGUGAAGAAACAGCCUGUGAGUGGAAAGCUCAGGCUUUGACGGUAACAGAGGAGGAAGCCACGGCUAACUACGUGCCAGCAGCCGCGGUAAUACGUAGGUGGCAAGCGUUGUCCGGAAUCACUGGGCGUAAAGCGCGCGCAGGCGGCGAUCUACGUCUGGGGUGAAAGCCCGGAGCUCAACUCCGGGACUGCCUUGGAUACGGGAUCGCUUGAGGAUUGGAGAGGCAAGGGGAAUUCCACGUGUAGCGGUGAAAUGCGUGGAGAUGUGGAGGAACACCUGUGGCGAAGGCGCCUUGCUGGCCAAUUUCUGACGCUGAGGCGCGAAAGCGUGGGGAGCAAACAGGAUUAGAUACCCUGGUAGUCCACGCCGUAAACGAUGAGUGCUAGGUGUUGGGGGGUACCACCCUCAGUGCCGAAGCUAACGCAUUAAGCACUCCGCCUGGGGAGUACGGUCGCAAGACUGAAACUCAAAUGAAUUGACGG